rnacentral:rRNA from 1 species
GAUGAACGCUAGCGGCAGGCCUAAUACAUGCAAGUCGAACGGUAAGGCCCUUUCGGGGGUACACGAGUGGCGGACGGGUGCGUAACGCGUAUGCAACAUGCCUUCCAGCGGGGGAUAUACCAGGGAAACUUGGCGCAAUACCCCAUAGAAUUACGGGACCGCAUGGUCUUGUGAUUAAAACUACCGGUGCUGGGAGAUUGGCAUGCGUGACAUUAGCUAGUUGGCGGGGUAACGGCCCACCCAAGGCGACGAUGUCUAGCUGGUCUGAGAGGAUGAUCAGCCACACUGGGACUGAGACACGGCCCAGACUCCUACGGGAGGCAGCAGUAGGGAAUAUUGGACAAUGGGGGGAACCCGGUCGAUCCAGCCACUGCCGCCGUGAGGGAAGG